GUGAACGCUGGCGGUAGGCCUAACACAUGCACGUCGAACGGCAGCACAGUAAGAGCUUGCUCUUACGGGUGGCGAGUGGCGGACGGGUGAGGAAUACAUCGGAAUCUACUUUUUCGUGGGGGAUAACGUAGGGAAACUUACGCUAAUACCGCAUACGACCUACGGGUGAAAGCAGGGGAUCUUCGGACCUUGCGCGAUUGAAUGAGCCGAUGUCGGAUUAGCUAGUUGGCGGGGUAAAGGCCCACCAAGGCGACGAUCCGUAGCUGGUCUGAGAGGAUGAUCAGCCACACUGGAACUGAGACACGGUCCAGACUCCUACGGGAGGCAGCAGUGGGGAAUAUUGGACAAUGGGCGCAAGCCUGAUCCAGCCAUACCGCGUGGGUAAAGAAGGCCUUCGGGUUGUAAAGCCCUUUUGUUGGGAAAGAAAAGCAGCAGGUUAAUACCCCGCUGUUCUGACGGUACCCAAAGAAUAAGCACCGGCUAACUUCGUG
rnacentral:rRNA from 1 species